rnacentral:rRNA from 1 species
GACGAACGCUGGCGGCGUGCUUAACACAUGCAAGUCGAACGGAAAGGCUCCAGCUUGCUGGAGUACUCGAGUGGCGAACGGGUGAGUAACACGUGGGUAAUCUGCCCUGCACUCUGGGAUAAGCCUGGGAAACUGGGUCUAAUACUGGAUAUGACCUUUCUCCUUAUGGGGUUUGGUGGAAAGUUUUUCGGUGUAGGAUGAGCCCGCGGCCUAUCAGCUUGUUGGUGGGGUGAUGGCCUACCAAGGCGACGACGGGUAGCCGGCCUGAGAGGGUGAUCGGACACGUUGGGACUGAGAUACGGCCCAGACUCCUACGGGAGGCAGCAGUGGGGAAUAUUGCACAAUGGGCGGAAGCCUGAUGCAGCGACGCCGCGUGAGGGAUGACGUCCUUCGGGUUGUAAACCUCUUUCAGCAGGGACGAAGCGUAAGUGACGGUACCUGCAGAAGAAGCACCGGCUAACUAUGUG